AUGAACGCUGGCGGCGUGCCUAAUACAUGCAAGUCGAGCGAACAGACGAGGAGCUUGCUCCUCUGACGUUAGCGGCGGCCGGGUGAGUAACCCGUGGAUAACCUACCUAUAAGACUGGGAUAACUUCGGGAAACCGGAGCUAAUACCGGAUAAUAUAUUUAACCGCAUGGUUCAAUAGUGAAAGACGGUUUUGCUGUCACUUAUAGAUGGAUCCGCGCCGCAUUAGCUAGUUGGUAAGGUACCGGCUUACCAAGGCAAAGAUGCGUAGCCGACCUGAGAGGGUGAUCGGCCACACUGGAACUGAGACACGGUCCAGACUCCUACGGGAGGCAGCAGUAGGGAAUCUUCCGCAAUGGGCGAAAGCUUGACGGAGCAACGCCGCGUGAGUGAUGAAGGUCUUCGGAUCGUAAAACUCUGUUAUUAGGGAAGAACAAAUGUGUAAGUAACUAUGCACGUCUUGACGGUACCUAAUCAGAAAGCCACGGCUAACUACGUG
rnacentral:rRNA from 1 species